rnacentral:rRNA from 1 species
GAGUGAACGCUGGCGGUAGGCCUAACACAUGCAAGUCGAACGGCAGCACAGUAAGAGCUUGCUCUUACGGGUGGCGAGUGGCGGACGGGUGAGGAAUACAUCGGAAUCUACUUUUUCGUGGGGGAUAACGUAGGGAAACUUACGCUAAUACCGCAUACGACCUACGGGUGAAAGCAGGGGAUCUUCGGACCUUGCGCGAUUGAAUGAGCCGAUGUCGGAUUAGCUAGUUGGCGGGGUAAAGGCCCACCAAGGCGACGAUCCGUAGCUGGUCUGAGAGGAUGAUCAGCCACACUGGAGCUGAGACACGGUCCAGACUCCUACGGGAGGCAGCAGUGGGGAAUAUUGGACAAUGGGCGCAAGCCUGAUCCAGCCAUACCGCGUGGGUGAAGAAGGCCUUCGGGUUGUAAAGCCCUUUUGUUGGGAAAGAAAAGCAGCAGGUUAAUACCCCGCUGUUCUGACGGUACCCAAAGAAUAAGCACCGGCUAACUUCGUG